rnacentral:rRNA from 1 species
UUAAGCGACUAAGCGUACACGGUGGAUGCCCUGGCAGUCAGAGGCGAUGAAGGACGUGCUAAUCUGCGAUAAGCGUCGGUAAGGUGAUAUGAACCGUUAUAACCGGCGAUUUCCGAAUGGGGAAACCCAGUGUGAUUCGUCACACUAUCAUUAACUGAAUCCAUAGGUUAAUGAGGCGAACCGGGGGAACUGAAACAUCUAAGUACCCCGAGGAAAAGAAAUCAACCGAGAUUCCCCCAGUAGCGGCGAGCGAACGGGGAGGAGCCCAGAGCCUGAAUCAGUGUGUGUGUUAGUGGAAGCGUCUGGAAAGGCGCGCGAUACAGGGUGACAGCCCCGUACACAAAAAUGCACAUGCUGUGAGCUCGAUGAGUAGGGCGGGACACGUGGUAUCCUGUCUGAAUAUGGGGGGACCAUCCUCCAAGGCUAAAUACUCCUGACUGACCGAUAGUGAACCAGUACCGUGAGGGAAAGGCGAAAAGAACCCCGGCGAGGGGAGUGAAAAAGAACCUGAAACCGUGUACGUACAAGCAGUGGGAGCCUCUUAAUGGGGUGACUGCGUACCUUUUGUAUAAUGGGUCAGCGACUUAUAUUCUGUAGCAAGGUUAACCGAAUAGGGGAGCCGAAGGGAAACCGAGUCUUAACUGGGCGUUAAGUUGCAGGGUAUAGACCCGAAACCCGGUGAUCUAGCCAUGGGCAGGUUGAAGGUUGGGUAACACUAACUGGAGGACCGAACCGACUAAUGUUGAAAAAUUAGCGGAUGACUUGUGGCUGGGGGUGAAAGGCCAAUCAAACCGGGAGAUAGCUGGUUCUCCCCGAAAGCUAUUUAGGUAGCGCCUCGUGAAUUCAUCUCCGGGGGUAGAGCACUGUUUCGGCAAGGGGGUCAUCCCGACUUACCAACCCGAUGCAAACUGCGAAUACCGGAGAAUGUUAUCACGGGAGACACACGGCGGGUGCUAACGUCCGUCGUGAAGAGGGAAACAACCCAGACCGCCAGCUAAGGUCCCAAAGUCAUGGUUAAGUGGGAAACGAUGUGGGAAGGCCCAGACAGCCAGGAUGUUGGCUUAGAAGCAGCCAUCAUUUAAAGAAAGCGUAAUAGCUCACUGGUCGAGUCGGCCUGCGCGGAAGAUGUAACGGGGCUAAACCAUGCACCGAAGCUGCGGCAGCGACACUAUGUGUUGUUGGGUAGGGGAGCGUUCUGUAAGCCUGUGAAGGUGUACUGUGAGGUAUGCUGGAGGUAUCAGAAGUGCGAAUGCUGACAUAAGUAACGAUAAAGCGGGUGAAAAGCCCGCUCGCCGGAAGACCAAGGGUUCCUGUCCAACGUUAAUCGGGGCAGGGUGAGUCGACCCCUAAGGCGAGGCCGAAAGGCGUAGUCGAUGGGAAACAGGUUAAUAUUCCUGUACUUGGUGUUACUGCGAAGGGGGGACGGAGAAGGCUAUGUUGGCCGGGCGACGGUUGUCCCGGUUUAAGCGUGUAGGCUGGUUUUCCAGGCAAAUCCGGAAAACCAAGGCUGAGGCGUGAUGACGAGGCACUACGGUGCUGAAGUGACAAAUGCCCUGCUUCCAGGAAAAGCCUCUAAGCAUCAGGUAACAUCAAAUCGUACCCCAAACCGACACAGGUGGUCAGGUAGAGAAUACCAAGGCGCUUGAGAGAACUCGGGUGAAGGAACUAGGCAAAAUGGUGCCGUAACUUCGGGAGAAGGCACGCUGAUAUGUAGGUGAAGCGACUUGCUCGUGGAGCUGAAAUCAGUCGAAGAUACCAGCUGGCUGCAACUGUUUAUUAAAAACACAGCACUGUGCAAACACGAAAGUGGACGUAUACGGUGUGACGCCUGCCCGGUGCCGGAAGGUUAAUUGAUGGGGUUAGCGGUAACGCGAAGCUCUUGAUCGAAGCCCCGGUAAACGGCGGCCGUAACUAUAACGGUCCUAAGGUAGCGAAAUUCCUUGUCGGGUAAGUUCCGACCUGCACGAAUGGCGUAAUGAUGGCCAGGCUGUCUCCACCCGAGACUCAGUGAAAUUGAACUCGCUGUGAAGAUGCAGUGUACCCGCGGCAAGACGGAAAGACCCCGUGAACCUUUACUAUAGCUUGACACUGAACAUUGAGCCUUGAUGUGUAGGAUAGGUGGGAGGCUUUGAAGUGUGGACGCCAGUCUGCAUGGAGCCGACCUUGAAAUACCACCCUUUAAUGUUUGAUGUUCUAACGUUGGCCCCUAAUCGGGGUUGCGGACAGUGUCUGGUGGGUAGUUUGACUGGGGCGGUCUCCUCCUAAAGAGUAACGGAGGAGCACGAAGGUUGGCUAAUCCUGGUCGGACAUCAGGAGGUUAGUGCAAUGGCAUAAGCCAGCUUGACUGCGAGCGUGACGGCGCGAGCAGGUGCGAAAGCAGGUCAUAGUGAUCCGGUGGUUCUGAAUGGAAGGGCCAUCGCUCAACGGAUAAAAGGUACUCCGGGGAUAACAGGCUGAUACCGCCCAAGAGUUCAUAUCGACGGCGGUGUUUGGCACCUCGAUGUCGGCUCAUCACAUCCUGGGGCUGAAGUAGGUCCCAAGGGUAUGGCUGUUCGCCAUUUAAAGUGGUACGCGAGCUGGGUUUAGAACGUCGUGAGACAGUUCGGUCCCUAUCUGCCGUGGGCGCUGGAGAACUGAGGGGGGCUGCUCCUAGUACGAGAGGACCGGAGUGGACGCAUCACUGGUGUUCGGGUUGUCAUGCCAAUGGCACUGCCCGGUAGCUAAAUGCGGAAGAGAUAAGUGCUGAAAGCAUCUAAGCACGAAACUUGCCCCGAGAUGAGUUCUCCCUGAGACUUAGAGUCUCCUGAAGGAACGUUGAAGACGACGACGUUGAUAGGCCGGGUGUGUAAGCGCAGCGAUGCGUUGAGCUAACCGGUACUAAUGAACCGUGAGGCUUAACCUU